UGGGGCAAUGAGUCACCACCAGCCUUC
rnacentral:piRNA from 1 species